rnacentral:tRNA from 1 species
CGUGAAAUGGCUGAAAUAGUGUAAGUUUUUUAAAUUUAUUAUAGUAGAAAUACUUUUCAUGG